ensembl:lncRNA
GUUCACCCCCCUUCCUUUCCCAUGGAGAGUCUGUUGCACGAUGGAACGAAACAGAGGUUAUUUGGCCCAGUACAGCUGUUUAUGAACGUAAGAACCAUGAAGGUACUUCAAGCUUGAAUUGUUCCAAAGGAAGGUUGGGCUUUUUUCACUGCAUAUUUUCAUAAUCAGUUGCAUUAAAUUAACACUCAU